rnacentral:rRNA from 1 species
GGGGGCACGGGGGGCCUACGGGAGGCAGCAGUGGGGAAUCUUGGACAAUGGGGGCAACCCUGAUCCAGCCAUGCCGCGUGAGUGAUGAAGGCCUUAGGGUCGUAAAGCUCUUUCGCCUGUGAAGAUAAUGACGGUAGCAGGUAAAGAAACCCCGGCUAACUCCGUGCCAGCAGCCGCGGUAAUACGGAGGGGGUUAGCGUUGUUCGGAAUUACUGGGCGUAAAGCGCACGUAGGCGGACUGGAAAGUUGGGGGUGAAAUCCCAGGGCUCAACCCUGGAACUGCCUCCAAAACUAUCAGUCUAGAGUUCGAGAGAGGUGAGUGGAAUUCCGAGUGUAGAGGUGAAAUUCGUAGAUAUUCGGAGGAACACCAGUGGCGAAGGCGGCUCACUGGCUCGAUACUGACGCUGAGGUGCGAAAGUGUGGGGAGCAAACAGGAUUAGAUACCCUGGUAGUCCACACCGUAAACGAUGAAUGCCAGUCGUCGGGUAGCAUGCUAUUCGGUGACACACCUAACGG